rnacentral:rRNA from 1 species
CCUACGGGUGGCAGCAGUGGGGAAUAUUGCACAAUGGGCGCAAGCCUGAUGCAGCCAUGCCGCGUGUGUGAAGAAGGCCUUCGGGUUGUAAAGCACUUUCAGCGGGGAGGAAGGCGUUAAGGUUAAUAACCUUGGCGAUUGACGUUACCCGCAGAAGAAGCACCGGCUAACUCCGUGCCAGCAGCCGCGGUAAUACGGAGGGUGCAAGCGUUAAUCGGAAUUACUGGGCGUAAAGCGCACGCAGGCGGUCUGUCAAGUCGGAUGUGAAAUCCCCGGGCUCAACCUGGGAACUGCAUUCGAAACUGGCAGGCUAGAGUCUUGUAGAGGGGGGUAGAAUUCCAGGUGUAGCGGUGAAAUGCGUAGAGAUCUGGAGGAAUACCGGUGGCGAAGGCGGCCCCCUGGGCAAAGACUGACGCUCAGGUGCGAAAGCGUGGGGAGCAAACAGGAUUAGAUACCCUUGUAGUC